rnacentral:rRNA from 1 species
UACGAAGGGUGCAAGCGUUAAUCGGAAUUACUGGGCGUAAAGCGUGCGCAGGCGGUUAUGUAAGACAGAUGUAGAAACUCCCGGGCUCAACCUGGGAACUGCAUUUGUAGACUGCAUAGCUAGAGUACGGCAGAGGGGUAUGGAAUUCCGCGUGUAGCAGUGAAAUGCGUAGAUAUGCGGAGGAACACCGAUGGCGAAGGCAAUCCCCUGGGCCUGUACUGACGCUACAUGGCACGAAAGCGUGGGGUAGCAAACCGAGGACUUAGAAACCCUGGUA